rnacentral:rRNA from 1 species
CAACUUUCAGCAACGGAUCUCUUGGCUCUCGCAUCGAUGAAGAACGCAGCGAAAUGCGAUAAGUAAUGUGAAUUGCAGAAUUCAGUGAAUUAUCGAAUCUUUGAACGCACCUUGCGCUCCUUGGUAUUCCGAGGAGCAUGCCUGUUUGAGUGUCAUG